GACGAACGCUGGCGGCGUGCCUAAUACAUGCAAGUCGAACGCAGUGGGGACGGGUGAGUCACCCGUGGGUAACCUCCCAUCAGAGGGGAUAACACUUGGCAACAGGUGCUAAACCGCUACUGCUGGCUGUACCCGCGGUGCAUUAGCUAGUUGGUGAGGUAACGGCUCACCAAGGCCACGAUGCAUAGCCGACCUGAGAGGGUGAUCGGCCACACUGGGACUGAGACACGGCCCAGACUCCUACGGGAGGCAGCAGUAGGGAAUCUUCGGCAAUGGACGAAAGUCUGACCGAGCAACGCCGCGGGAGUGAAGAAGGUUUUCGGAUCGUAAAACUCUGUUGUUAGAGAAGCGGUAUCUAACCAGAAAGCCACGGCUAACUACGUGCCAGCAGCCGCGGUAAUUC
rnacentral:rRNA from 1 species